GACGAACGCUGGCGGCGUGCUUAACACAUGCAAGUCGAACGGAAAGGCCCUGCUUUUGUGGGGUGCUCGAGUGGCGAACGGGUGAGUAACACGUGAGUAGCCUGCCCUUGACUUUGGGAUAACUUCAGGAAACUGUGGCUAAUACCGGAUAGGAGCUCCUGCUGCAUGGUGGUGGUUGGAAAGUUUCGGCGGUUGGGGAUGGACUGGCGGCUUAUCAGCUUGUUGGUGGGGUAGUGGCUUACCAAGGCUUUGACGGGUAGCCGGCCUGAGAGGGUGACCGGCCACAGUGGGACUGAGAUACGGGCCAGACGGCUACGGGAGGCAGGAGUGGGAGAUAGUGCAAGAUGGGCGGAAGCAGGAUGCAGCAACGUCGGGUGGGGGAUGACGGUCGUAGGGGUGGAAACCGCUUGCGCGUGUGACGAAGAGUGAGUGACGGUAAUGGGUAAAGAAGCAACGGCUAACUACGUG
rnacentral:rRNA from 1 species